UACGUAGGUGGCAAGCGUUGUCCGGAAUUAUUGGGCGUAAAGAGCUCGUAGGCGGUCUGUCGCGUCGGCUGUGAAAACUCGGGGCUCAACUCCGAGCUUGCAGUCGAUACGGGCUAGCUAGAGUGUGGUAGGGGAGAUCGGAAUUCCUGGUGUAGCGGUGAAAUGCGCAGAUAUCAGGAGGAACACCGGUGGCGAAGGCGGAUCUCUGGGCCAUUACUGACGCUGAGGAGCGAAAGCGUGGGGAGCGAACAGG
rnacentral:rRNA from 1 species